rnacentral:rRNA from 1 species
CCCUUAGAUGUUCUGGGCCGCACGCGCGCUACACUGAUGCAUUCAACGAGCCUAUCCUUGACCGACAGGUCCGGGUAAUCUUUGAAUCUGCAUCGUGACGGGGAUAGAUUAUUGCAAUUAUUAAUCUUCAACGAGGAAUGCCUAGUAGGCGCAAGUCAUCAGCUUGCGUCGAUUACGUCCCUGCCCUUUGUACACACCGCCCGUCGCUCCUACCGAUUGGGGGUGCUGGUGAAAUGUUCGGAUCGGCCGUUUGUCGCGGUUUCCGCGUCAUGUGGCUGAGAAGUUCAUUAAACCCUCCCACCUAGAGGAAGGAGAAGUCGUAACA